rnacentral:rRNA from 1 species
GACAGAGGCCUCGAGCGUUAGGCGGAAUCACUGGGCUUAAAGCGUGUGUAGGCGGAUCGUUAAGUACCUUGUGAAAUCCCACGGCUUAACUGUGGAACGGCUGGGCAUACUGGCGGUCUUGAGCCAUCUAGGGGCGACUGGAACAAACGGUGGAGCGGUGAAAUGCGUAGAUAUCGUUUGGAACGCCAAUGGUGAAAACAGGUCGCUGGGGAUGAGCUGACGCUGAGACACGAAAGCCAGGGGAGCAAACGGG